CGGGGUGAGUAAUGUCUGGGAAACUGCCUGAUGGAGGGGGAUAACUGCUGGAAACGGUAGCUAAUACCGCAUAACGUCGCAAGACCAAAGAGGGGGACCUUCGGGCCUCUUGCCAUCGGAUGUGCCCAGAUGGGAUUAGCUAGUAGGUGGGGUAACGGCUCACCUAGGCGACGAUCCCUAGCUGGUCUGAGAGGAUGGCCAGCCACACUGGAACUGAGACGCGGUCCAG
rnacentral:rRNA from 1 species